rnacentral:rRNA from 1 species
AUAAUUUUAAAUUAUUAUUUUUAUUUUAGAAAUAAAUUAUAUAAUAAAUAAAUUUGUUUUAGUUUUAUUAGUCUCAGAUUGUUAUUUAUAAAUAAAAUUAUAGUGAAUUAAAGUAUUGUUAAAGAAUUAAUUAAAAAUUUUUAAUAGAAUUAAUAAAUAUUAGUACCUUUUGUAUCAGGGAUGAAUAAUUAAUAUUUUUAUUAAUUAAAUUCUCGAAUUGAAAAUUGAGUUAACCUAUGUUUAAUUUUAUUGUUUCAUUAAUAAUAUUUAAUAUAUGUUAGAUGUUAUAUGCUAAUCGUAAUUUAAGAUAUCUAGUUUUAUAGUAGUAAAAAGUUUAUCUUUUUAUAAAUUAAGGGAUAAGUUUUAAUUUACUUUAUAAUAAAUUAAUUUAUUAUUAAAUAUUGAAUUGAUAGUAUUAAUUAUUUUAAGUGUGUUCGUACACCGUAGUAGUUAAAUAUUUAUUUUUUAUAAAAUAUUAUUGUUAAUUUUAAUGAUAAGAAAUAAUGUUUAUAUUAGUAUAAUUUUAAUUUAUUAAAUAAUUUAAUAUCAUUAAUUUUACUAAAGGAAUUCGGCAAAAUUUUCGUCCACCUGUUUAUCAAAAACAUGGCUUUAUGAUAAUAUUUAUAUUAAGUCAAACCUGCCCAAUGAAAUUAUUUUAAAUGGCCGCAGUAAGUUGACUGUGCAAAGGUAGCAUAAUAAUUUGUUUUUUAAUUGGAGACUGGAAUGAAUGGUUUAAUGUGAUGGAAGCUGUCUUUAUUAUUAUUUUUGAAUUUUACUUUUAAGUUAAAAGGCUUAUAAAUGUUGUUAAGGGACGAGAAGACCCCAUCAAGUUUAAUAAAUUAUAUUUAUAAUAAUCAAUUAUUAUUCAUAUUUAAUUAUUUUUCUGGGGCGGAAGUAUAAAAAUUAUCUUUUAUUAAAAUAAUAAUUUUUAGAUUUAUCAAUAAAACUUUUAUUAAAAAAAUAAAAUAAAAUUACUGUGGGGGUAACAGCGUUAUUCUUUUGGAGAGUUCAUAUUAAUAAAAGAGAUUGCGACCUCGAUGUUGGAUUAAAUUUUCCCCAUAACGAAGAAGUUAUGAAGGUAAGUCUGUUCGACUUAUUAAAAAUUACAUGAUCUGAGUUCAGACCGGCGUGAGCCAGGUUAGUUUUUAUCUUUAAUAAUUUAAAUCGUAAUAUUUACUUAGUACGAAAGGACCUGUAAAAUUAAAUUUUUUAAAUUU